AUUGAACGCUGGCGGCAGGCCUAACACAUGCAAGUCGAACGAGUGGCGGACGGGUGAGUAAUGUCUGGGACACUGCCUGAUGGAGGGGGAUAACUACUGGAAACGGUAGCUAAUACCGCAUACCAUCAGAUGUGCCCAGAUGGGAUUAGCUAGUUGGUGGGGUAACUGCUCACCAAGGCGACGAUCCCUAGCUGGUCUGAGAGGAUGACCAGCACCAAUGGAACUGAGACACGGUCCAGACUCCUUCGGGGGGCAGCAUUGGGGAAUAUUGCACAAUGGGCGCAAGCCUGAUGCAGCCAUGCCGCGUGUAUGAAGAAGGCCUUCGGGUGGUAAAGUAAUUUCAGCGGGGAGGCGUUACCCGCAGAAGAAGCACCGGCUAACUCCGUGCCAGCAGCCGCGGUAAUUC
rnacentral:rRNA from 1 species